rnacentral:lncRNA from 1 species
CACUCGAACCUCGCAAUUUGCAUAGGUUCGGGCACGUCGAACAGACGGCGAACAGACAGAGUCUCCCCUGUCCGCCCAAGGCUCAACACAUGUACAAUUCAAGUAGAAAGAAUGCACAAGCGGAAAUAUACAUAAUGGCUUACACGAGGGUAAGCAAUAGCCAGAGUGAAAGAAUAUUAGACGAAACAACUCACAAGUAGAAUGAUUAACUUUUAACCAUUUACAAGCAUUCAACUAUCACAUUUGCCUUUACAUUACUUUUCAUCAUUUCUUUUUUUUUUACAUCACAUUUUCGCAAAAUAAAAGAUUACAUUCUUUUCUUUAUCAUCUCUAAUCGUCAAAUACAAAACAU